rnacentral:misc_RNA from 1 species
AUAGGACUUCAAACAAUGAUGCCAUCCAAGUAACUGCAUUUCCCAAAUUUUUAUCCUGUGUCAGAUGUAAUAAUUUGUUGAUAAAAAAGAAUUGAUCAAAUGUGUAUAAAGAUUUUCAAGUCUUGAAAAUCGACAUCUUCGUGAUCAAAUCGAGUCGACUGUGAUUGUGUAAUAGCUUAAUCAUGGUUCAAAGGAAGGAACUUCUGCGUCGAAGUUCCAAGAUGUUUGAUAUAGAGUCCUCGGAAAGAUACUCCUGUACGGAUCCUCCCCUCGCUUCCUCUGCAGGUACGACAAUAUGCCCUCGACAUCAGUCUUAAUCUGCUUGUACACUUCAUUUGCCUUGUUUCGGUCUUUCAGAGUGUCCUUCAUUCCCCGUGUUUCGAACGGUUUCCCGAAUAAAUAAUACAAUCGCCCUGGUACUUUCGGGGCUAUUCCAGGGAUGAAAAGUUCUUGGUUGGAAAGCUCUCCAUCGAUAUUGAUAUCCCUUAAUUUUUCAGCGUCUUGAUUCAUUUCUUUUAUCCAAUUGUUAGUGAGGGGGAUGCUUGUCAGAUCAUUAUAAUCAAGAAGCAACUCAGCUAUGUCGUCUUCGCCAACAACUCCAAAUGGUACAAUUGUGGCUCCGAAUCGAGCAGCAAUUCGCACAAAUUCUGGCUGAUCCGGCCAAAAUAGCUUAUAUUCUUCACCCUUACGAUGUAGAGCUUCACGGGCACCCCCAGGAUAAAGAAGAACAAAUGAUUUACUUGAGAACAACCUAUACAUGCUGAGGGCAGAAACUGGUAAUGCACCAAAGAUAGUUAAGCGAUCAGAGAUGGCGGACUCUUGCCGUGACGUUUCCAUCUUCCUUGAGAACAAAACCGGAUGGGCAAUGCCACGAAUUAUGACCUUUUUCUCCCUUAAGAAGGCUUCAUAUAGUGGACCUAGUUCGAGUCCCAUCAGCAUGUGAUAACCCACUAGCAAAACAGGACCAUCCUUAGGAACCCCGUUAAGUCCCCUAACAAUUUUUCCAUUUUCAAGGGUUGAAAGCAUAACUGGACUUGUUGCAUUGCGAAACCAAUUGAUGCUAUUAUCUUGCUCAAAUGCCAUCUUGAAUUCAGUCAUCGAAGGAGGAAGGUAAUCUGUAACAAAGUCAAAUUUUCUCGAACGACGAUACAUCCUUGUAGCUUUAAUAAUGCUCAACAGAUUAAUCCCAUUCUCCAAUAGUAGGGUGUGGCCACUGUCCUUGAAGUAGCGAACUCUUCGAUUUUUUAAUGAAGUCCACAGUCGAUCUGCUUCAUCUCCACUUGGUAGCAGGUUAUCCUUCCCACUGGCAAGCAGUAGAACUUCUGCCUCUACAGCAUGUAACCGAGAAUUGACAUAAGAGACAGCUGAUUUAAGAAGCUUUAAUUUCCAUAGCAAAGUUUCCCUUGGUAUAAUAUCUGCCAAAUCUGCAAGACGUGGAAGCAAAGAAGUAAGGCUUCCUGACAAUCCUUCAAGUGUUUCUUGAGGAGAAAGAUCAUCUGGGACACUUGCCAUUGCCAUCCUCACAGGAUCACCCAUGAUGAAGCUAAGAAGAUAAGGCACAGCAGUAUGAAAUCUGCUUGGUGAAGCCUCCAAGAUGGGCAAUAGUGGUUGCACCUGAGAUUUGCCAAACGAUGUCCCUGGAUUGACUAGUAUUAGCAUUAGAUCGACGGUAGGAUUGCGGGCAGCAACAGCAAGUGCUAAGCAUGCUCCAAAGGAAUCUCCAACAAGAUAUAUUGGUUUAUUUGGAAAUGCAGCAUUCUCAUACAUCACUGAGUGUUCAACAAAUUUUACCAAUCCUUCAAAUGUUGUUCGAUCAUUAGUUGGAAUAUGCAGGCAUCUGACUUCAAAGACCUUUCCAAGAGACUUGUGAUGAAGAAUGAGACCCAUGCCUACCCCAUCAGCACCAGGCAAGAACAGCAGCACCGGCGAACCAGCCACCGGCCGCCCGCACUCCACCGGACAAAACCACCGAGGCGAGCCCCCAUCGGGCUUAAUAAUCUCCCGUGCUGCGUCCAUGUAAUCCUUAACACUCUCAGUCCCGUACCCAUCGUCGUACAGCACCUCCAAACCCCCCACCACCAUCGGCUCCACCCCCUUCUUGGCAACGCCAAAGGGAGGCUGUUCGGGACGUACAGAAUUAGCGGGGAUUCCGGCUAUUGCCGCGGUGGUAGGGAGAGUCCGGCGGGGGCGGGAGAGAUGAGGGGGGUUGCAGCGGUGGAGCGACAGGGGCAGGAGCAUCGGAGUCGCCAUGGU